AAGACAUCUGUCCACACAGUCUGAGAAGGAGAGAUAAGACGUAUAGGUUUUGCACUGAUUAUAGGAAAUUAAAUAGUGUUACAAACCCUGACUCUUUUCCGCUUCCACGGACGGAAGAUUGCGUAUAUUCGGUGGGUUCAGCGAAAUUCAUAACUAAUAUUGAUCUGAUUAAGGGGUUAAGAAUAAAAUGUGACUAAAUCUGAAAAAAAGAGAAAGAAAAUAAUAAAAGGUCUUUAAUGUCUGAGGUGGGAAAAUAUGAAGUUGAAUGUUUUAUGGUUCAUAUUUAAACACCUUGACCUUAUUUUUAUUAUUCUCUGGUUAGGUAAGUCAAAUUGAGUGUAUUAUAAAUGUUCAAUUCAUUGUUAUAAAUACAAUACAGUACCUAUGGAGCAGAUACAUGAUUCCCCAUAUGAGGCAUCAAAAUAAUAGACCAUUAGACAUAUGUUAACUAAAUACAUCAAAAAAUGAGGCAGGGUAAUUGUAUUCUUAUGCAUAUUACCCAACAUGGAAUAUUACCAAAUCCCAGGGAUGACCCAGCCUUUGAACUUAAUUAUUUUAAGCUGAAAUGGGUGAAAAUGUUCACAGUGUAUGCAACAUAUUUCAGAUGAGCAAACCUCUUAAAAAAAUAUGUCUUCUGCAUAACACACGCAUUAUAGAGGCGACUCCAUGGUGAAAGAGUGCUAUCUGGGAUGUGGAACAUUUUCCCAGGAUCUGGCAACCCAUAGUCAAGAGUGAAAGUAAAAGUAAAUGAACACAGUUGAUGUCGCCAUGUUAUAUAGACAGAAUCGAUGAUUUACAAUACAAAAUAUCUUUAAAUCUUUAAUAUAGUCAUUUACAAAUGUGUGCAGCUACCUGAUGGGAAUGUGAAUCGUUUCAUCUGGAGUCAGUGGAGAUCAAACUGUUCAGAUCCAUCAUGGAUCAGACUCAAACAUCUCGAGAUGAAGAUUUGUUUCCAGGAUGCAGUUCAGUUCAGUUCAGUUCAGAUCAUCUGAAGAGAUCAGAACAAGAGUCCAGCUGUGUGUCUAUGAGGAGUGACGUGUCUAUGAUUGAUCCACUAAACUUUAAGAGUGGAGAUUCACGGCCUGGAAUCAGUUCAGUUCAUCAGAAGAGAUCAGAACAAGAGUCCAGCUGUGUGUCUAUGAGGAGUGACGUGUCUAUGAUUGAUCCACUAAACUUUAAGAGUGGAGAUUCACGGCCUGGAAUCAGGUAUAACAUUUGUAUAAAGAUGUGA
ensembl:lncRNA